rnacentral:lncRNA from 1 species
AGAGGAGGAGAAGGGAAGUCGGGGACGUCGGUCAUGUCUAGGCGCUGGUGUUCUGGGGUGUCAGGCAGAGUGGAAGGAGAGGAGGAGAAGGGAAGUCGGGGACGUCGGUCAUGUCUAGGCGCUGGUGUUCUGGGUGAGUGAGUGCCCUUUGUUAAAUCUAUUCCUGUUUUGAUCAAGAUCUUGAGAUCUUCCAUGUUGCUUGACUCACCUCUACUCUUUAAGAAACAUUUCUUUUGUCUAUUCUGGCAGCCACUG